rnacentral:lncRNA from 1 species
AUGUCAUUUAUCUAUGCUAUUGCAAGACUCAGGUAAAGGAAUCUUCAGUUAUAAGCUUUUUACCACCAUUUGAAAAGUUGAAGGUUAUUAUCAAAUUUGAACAUUUCUUGCUAAGUUGGUCUUGGUGUUAUAUUGACCAUGCAGAGUCAAGAUAGAAAGAGAAACUCAUGCAUGCGAAUCGCGAUGUGCCUGUGGUCUAGAACUUAUUGUUUUGGAUAAAAUGGUAAGCUACUAUGACUAUCCCUUUAGUUUGUCUUCUUGACACUCAGAAUCAAAUCUGAGUUAUAUUCUUAUGAAUUUUGCAUCAUAGGGUCAACUUUUGUUUGUUGUUAUACAGUUUAAUGAGGAAAAGUGCUUUAAAUCAACUUCUAGAGGUGCAGCUUUAUUAAGAGAAGCACUCCUUGUAGAGAAGUCGAGCUCUGUCCUGUCUCUUCGAAGAAAGAUAG